AGGGUUUGAUCCUGGCUCAGGACGAACGCUGGCGGCGCGCCUAACACAUGCAAGUCGAACGAAGUUAGAGAGAGCUUGCUCUUUUUGACUUAGUGGCGAACGGGUGAGUAACGCGUGAGGAACCUGCCUCAAAGAGGGGGACAACAGUUGGAAACGACUGCUAAUACCGCAUAAGCCCACAGCUCCGCAUGGAGCAGAGGGAAAAGGAGCAAUCCGCUUUGAGAUGGCCUCGCGUCCGAUUAGCUAGUUGGUGAGGUAACGGCCCACCAAGGCGACGAUCGGUAGCCGGACUGAGAGGUUGAUCGGCCACAUUGGGACUGAGACACGGCCCAG
rnacentral:rRNA from 1 species